GAUGAACGCUAGCGGCAGGCCUAACACAUGCAAGUCGAGGGGCAGCAUAAAACAAGCUUGCUUGUUUGGUGGCGACCGGCGCACGGGUGCGUAACGCGUAUGCAACCUACCCUGUACUGGGGGAUAGCCCGGAGAAAUUCGGAUUAAGCCCCCAUAGUAUAAUUGAAUCGCAUGGUUUGAUUAUUAAAGGUUACGGUACAGGAUGGGCAUGCGUCCUAUUAGCUUGUUGGUGAGGUAACGGCUCACCAAGGCGACGAUAGGUAGGGGGCCUGAGAGGGUGGUCCCCCACACUGGUACUGAGACACGGACCAGACUCCUACGGGUGGCAG
rnacentral:rRNA from 1 species